AUAAAUGUACUUUCUGUUAGUGGCAGAUAUGUGUACAGACGAUUCUGUAGAAGAAAGUAACUUUCAUGGAAGUAAAUCGGUUGACAGCGUAUCAUUACGAAUAACAAAACAACAAAACAACUGCAUAUGUCAUAUUACUUUACAAAAUACUGUAACUAAUUACACUAUAUACAUGUCUAAAUACGAAAAACAAAGCAAUGCGGCCCCAGAACAACAGAACUGUGGACUUGCAGUGGAUGUUGAAUAUAUAGAUACAUCGCAUACAACUCGAUCUCUUCAGUCGAUUGAAUGUACCAGUGGGACUGAUGUGAGGUCAAUUGCUCUAAGAGGAAGUGAACUGAAACUUAAAUCAAGGAUUAUAGAUGGUGACUUCACCAGGGGAUACUGUAUGCAAAUAUCAAGAAAUCAAACGAUAUAUACUUGCGAAAUGAAAGCACGUCAAGAAGGAUUAUCAGGUGAAGAUGUUGAUUGGAUGAAAGUAUUUCCUAUAAAAUCGUUUGAUGAAUGUGAAAGAUACUGCAUUCAAACUGAAGCUUGUGUUGCUGUUCAGUAUGAGUCAAGUUAUUGUUUUGUUUACAACCAGACGACAAUAUUGUCUUAUAAAGAUGAUGUAAUUUACUCACAGAAGCAAUGUUUUGACAAUCAAAAAUUAAAAAUAAAGUGUCACCCUCCAGAAUCAACAACGCAAACAAACUAGGGAAGU